GGAGUCGUGACCCAGUAGUAGAGCAUCUGCUUUGCAUACAGAAGGUCCCAAGUUCAAUUCCUGGAAUUUCCA
rnacentral:tRNA from 1 species